GACGAACGCUGGCGGCGUGCCUAAUACAUGCAAGUAGAACGCUGAAGAGAGGAGCUUGCUCUUCUUGGAUGAGUUGCGAACGGGUGAGUAACGCGUAGGUAACCUGCCUUGUAGCGGGGGAUAACUAUUGGAAACGAUAGCUAAUACCGCAUAACAAUGGAUGACACAUGUCAUUUAUUUGAAAGGGGCAAUUGCUCCACUACAAGAUGGACCUGCGUUGUAUUAGCUAGUAGGUGAGGUAAUGGCUCACCUAGGCGACGAUACAUAGCCGACCUGAGAGGUGGAUCGCCCCCCCUGGGACGGGGAACGGCCCCGACUCCCACGGGGGGCAGCAGUAGGGGAACCUUGGGAAUGGGGGCAACCCUGACCGAGCAACGCCGCGUGAGUGAAGAAGGUUUUCGGAUCGUAAAGCUCUGUUGUAAGUCAAGAACGGGUGUGAGAGUGGAAAGUUCACACUGUGACGGUAGCUUACCAGAAAGGGACGGCUAACUACGUG
rnacentral:rRNA from 1 species